UUCAAGCUCGUUUUGUGGAUUUUCCUGAAUCGGAUCUGCUGGAUUACUUGGACCCUUCCUCAGGUUGCGUUUAGGUUUUUCAGUUUCAGAAGUUGAAUUUGCCACAGCAUUGUCAACAUUUGCAGCAGGGGUAUGUUCUUGAAUCAGAUCUGCUGGAUUAUUUGCCCCUUUCCUCAAGUUGCGUUUAGGUUUUUCAGUUUCAGAAGUUGAAUUUGCCACACCAUUGUCAACAUUUGCAGCAGGUGAAUGUUCCUGACUCAAAUCUGCUGGAUUACUUGCCCCUUUCCUCAAGUUGCGUUUAGGUUUUUCAGUUUCAGAAGUUGCAUUUGCCACACCAUUGUCAACAUUUGCAGCAGGGGCUCUACGAAUAGUACGCU
rnacentral:lncRNA from 1 species